CAUGUUUUAACUAAUUUUUGUGAAUAUUUUGUGAGUUUGUGUUUCUCAUUUUAUACUAGGUUUUAGACUAGUCUCUCAAUUUUAAGAGUUUUCAAAAUAGCUUUAUUUAUUUAUUUUUUUAAGAUUUAUUUAUUUAUUUGAAAGAGUUACACAGAGAGAGGAGAUGCAGAGGGAGAGAGAGAGAGAGAGAGAGAGGUCUUCCAUCUGAUGGUUCACUACCCAAUUGGCUGCAACGGCCAGAGCUGUGCCGAUCUGAAGCAAGGAGCCAGGAGAUUCUUCUGGCUCUCCCACGUGGGUGCAGGGGCCCAAGGACUUGGGCCUUCUUCUACUGCUUGCCCAGGUCAAAACAGAGAGCUGGAUGGGAAGAGGAGCAGCCGGGACUAGAACCGGCACUUAUUUGGGAUGCCAGCACAUCAGGCCAGGGUGUUAACCCCUUGAGACACAGCACCUGCACUGCUUUAUUUAUUUAUUUAUUUAUUUAUUUAUUUAUUUAUUUUUUCUGAAACACAAUCUUAUUUAUUUGUUGUUAUUAAACCUUAUUUUUGACUGGACUCAGAUUUAGAAGUAGAUGCUCUCAGAGAAGACAGCCUACGUCUCUUGGCAAUCUGUUCCUGGCGUUUUUCUUUGGCCUCCUUCAUUCUCUUGGCCAAGAGUUUAGCAUACUCUGCAGCCUCCUCCUUGUUCUUAGUACGCUGUUUCUUCAGAGCAAUUCGCCGGCAUUUGUGUUGCAGGACACGUGGAGUAACCAGACGCUGAAUCUUGGGUGCUUUGGUCCUAGGUUUCUUACCUUCUUUGUUUAAGGGCUUUCUUUCAAGAUUGAAAAGUUUACGAAUUCUGCUGGCUCUUUUAGGACCCAGGCGACGAGGCACCGUGGUAUCAGUCAAUCCAGGAAUAUCUUUCUCUGCUUUUUUUACAAUAACCAAGUUGAGAACACUCAAAUUGAGGAAUGCCCCUUACUCAGCAGCAGGCGGACCCGCCCAUGGGUCAAGACACCUUGCUUCAUGGGAAAACCUUGUUCCAUUCUUCACCCAGAGCGUCGGCAGCAACUUCUGUGGCCAUACGCUUCUCAUAGAAAGUAUGAAGUUUACGUUCAUCGUCCACUUCGAUGAGUUUCUGUCAGCCAGUGGCUGGGAAGGAGAUAUUCAGCUUCAUUUUUCUGCUUUAUUUAUUUUUAAAGAUUAUUUGAAAGUCAGAGUUAUAGAGUGAGAGGAAAAGAUGGGGUUUGGGGGUUUGGAAAUCUUCCCUCUGAUGAUUCACUCCCCAGAUGGUCACAACAGCUAGAAUUCAAUCAAACAGAUGCCAAGAGCAAGACACUUUAUCUGAAUCUACCACAUGGGUAGAAGGGGUUCACAAACUUGGGCCACCUUCUGCUGCCUUUCCCAGGCCACUUACAUGGAGCUGAAUCAAAAGUAGAGCAGCCAAGACAGGAAUAGAUACCCACAUGGUAUACUGGAGUCACAGGUGGUGGCUUUACACACUGUCACAAUGACAGCUCCCGUCUUUAUUUUUUUUAAAGUUUUAGACUCAUUACAAAAUUGAAUGGAGUUUACAUAUAUUUCCCAAACGCCCCAUCCCUCCAACGAUACCUUUCCACCAUUAUCAAUAGCUUUCAUCAGCAUGAUUUACCUGUUGCGAUUGAUAAAUCCACAUUGACUCAUAA
ensembl:lncRNA